rnacentral:rRNA from 1 species
UAAUAUAUAGGUAACGUGCCCUAGAGAAGAGGAUAACAUUUGGAAACGAAUGCUAAUACUCUAUAUGCCUUUAAGUCAUAAGACUGCAAGGGAAAUAUUUAUAGCUCUAGGAUCGGCCUGUACGGUAUCAGCUUGUUGGUGAGGUAAUGGCUCACCAAGGCAAUGACACCUAACUGGUUUGAGAGGAUGAUCAGUCACACUGGAACUGAGACACGGUCCAGACUCCUACGGGAGGCAGCAGUGGGGAAUAUUGCACAAUGGACGAAAGUCUGAUGCAGCAACGCCGCGUGGAGGAUGACACAUUUCGGUGCGUAAACUCCUUUUAUAUAGGAAGAUAAUGACGGCACUAUAUGAAUAAGCGCCGGCUAACUCCGUGCCAGCAGCCGCGGUAAUACGGAGGGCGCAAGCGUUUAUCGGAAUUACUGGGCGUAAAGCGUUCGUAGGCGGUUAUUUAAGCAAGAUGUGAAAGCCCAGGGCUCAACCUUGGAACUGCAUUUUGAACUGGGUAACUAGAGUACUGUAGA